GCGCUCGUGGUGUAAUGGUAACAUAGUCGAUUUCCAUUCGACUGCCUCGGGUUCGAUUCCCGACGGGCGCA
rfam:Aschersonia aleyrodis RCEF 2490 scaffold_20, whole genome shotgun sequence.